GGAGCAUAGCUCAGCUGGGAGAGCAGCUGACUUGUAAUCAGCAGGUGGCAGGUUCGAUUCCUGUUCAAAGCUCCA
rnacentral:tRNA from 1 species